CCCUUAGAUGUUCUGGGCCGCACGCGCGCUACACUGACGAAUGCAACGAGCUUAUAAUAACCUUGGCCGAAAGGUCUGGGUAAUCUCCAAAUUUCGUCGUGAUGGGGAUAGAUUAUUGCAAUUAUUAAUCUUCAACGAGGAAUGCCUAGUAAGCGCAAGUCAUCAGCUUGCGUUGAUUACGUCCCUGCCCUUUGUACACACCGCCCGUCGCUCCUACCGAUUGAAUGGUCCGGUGAAGCGUUCGGACCGUGGCCUUUGGACGGUUCGCCGUCUGUUGACUGCGGGAAGUUCGUUAAACCUUNUNAUUUAUNGGAAGGAGAANUCGUANCA
rnacentral:rRNA from 1 species